UACGUAGGGACCGAGCGUUGUCCGGAAUUAUUGGGCGUAAAGAGCUCGUAGGCGGUUUGUUGCGUCGGCUGUGAAAUCCCGAGGCUCAACCUCGGGUCUGCAGUCGAUACGAGCAAACUAGAGUGUUGCAGGGGAGACUGGAAUUCCUGGUGUAGCGGUGAAAUGCGCAGAUAUCAGGAGGAACACCGGUGGCGAAGGCGGGUCUCUGGGCAACAACUGACGCUGAGGAGCGAAAGCGUGGGGAGCGAACAGG
rnacentral:rRNA from 1 species